CCCGCUGAACUUAAGCAUAUCAAUAAGCGGAGGAAAAGAAACUAACAAGGAUUCCCCUAGUAACUGCGAGUGAAGCGGGAAAAGCUCAAAUUUAAAAUCUGGCGGUUCCACCGUCCGAGUUGUAAUUUAGAGAAGUGCUAUCCGCGCUGGACCGUGUACAAGUCUCCUGGAAUGGAGCAUCAUAGAGGGUGAGAAUCCCGUCUUUGACACGGACUCCCAGGGCAUUGUGAUGCGCUCUCAAAGAGUCGAGUUGUUUGGGAAUGCAGCUCAAAAUGGGUGGUAAAUUUCAUCUAAAGCUAAAUAUUGGCCAGAGACCGAUAGCGCACAAGUAGAGUGAUCGAAAGAUGAAAAGCACUUUGGAAAGAGAGUUAAACAGUACGUGAAAUUGUUGAAAGGGAAGCGCUUGCAACCAGACUUGCACGUAGUUAAUCAUCCGGGGUUCUCCCCGGUGCACUUGGCUACGUUCAGGCCAGCAUCGGUUUUGGUGGUUGGAUAAAGGCCUAGGGAAUGUGGCUCUCUUCGGGGAGUGUUAUAGCCCUAGGUGCAAUGCAGCCCACUGGGACCGAGGACCGCGCUUUGGCUAGGAUGCUGGCGUAAUGGUUGUAAGCGACCCGUCUUGAAACACGG
rnacentral:rRNA from 1 species